ACGAGCGCUGGCGGCGUGCUUAACCCAUGCAAGUCGAACGCUGAGGCUUGGUGCUUGCACUGGGUGGAUGAGUGGCGAACGGGUGAGUAAUACGUGAGUAACCUGCCCUUGACUCUGGGAUAAGCCUGGGAAACUGGGUCUAAUACUGGAUACGACAUGUCACCGCAUGGUGGUGUGUGGAAAGGGUUUUACUGGUUUUGGAUGGGCUCACGGCCUAUCAGCUUGUUGGUGGGGUAAUGGCUCACCAAGGCGACGACGGGUAGCCGGCCUGAGAGGGUGACCGGCCACACUGGGACUGAGACACGGCCCAGACUCCUACGGGAGGCAGCAGUGGGGAAUAUUGCACAAUGGGCGGAAGCCUGAUGCAGCGACGCCGCGUGAGGGAUGACGGCCUUCGGGUUGUAAACCUCUUUCAGCACGGAAGAAGCGAAAGUGACGGUACGUGCAGAAGAAGCGCCGGCUAACUACGUG
rnacentral:rRNA from 1 species